rnacentral:rRNA from 1 species
UACGGGGGGGGCAAGCGUUGUUCGGAAUUACUGGGCGUAAAGGGCUCGUAGGCGGCCAACUAAGUCAGACGUGAAAUCCCCAGGCUCAACCUGGGAACUGCGUCUGAUACUGGAUGGCUUGAAUCCGGGAGAGGGAUGCAGAAUUCCAGGUGUAGCGGUGAAAUGCGUAGAUAUCGAGAGGAACACCUGCGGCGAAGGCGGGUUGCUGGGCUGACACUGACGCUGAUGCGCGAAAGCCAGGGGAGCGAACGGG